UACGUAGGGUGCGAGCGUUAAUCGGAAUUACUGGGCGUAAAGCGUGCGCAGGCGGCGCGUUAAGACAGGUGUGAAAGCCCCGAGCUUAACUUGGGAAUUGCGCUUGUGACUGGCGUGCUGGAGUGUGGCAGAGGGAGGUGGAAUUCCACGUGUAGCAGUGAAAUGCGUAGAGAUGUGGAGGAACACCGAUGGCGAAGGCGGGUCUCUGGGCCGAUACUGACGCUGAGGAGCGAAAGCGUGGGGAGCAAACAGG
rnacentral:rRNA from 1 species